AACGAACGCUGGCGGCGUGCUUAACACAUGCAAGUCGAACGCGAAAGGGGGUAACUCCCGGUAGCGUGGCAGACGGGUGAGUAACACGUGGGUAACCUGCCCGGAGGUGGGGGAUAACCCUUCGAAAGGAGGGCUAAUACCGCAUGACAUCCUCGGGUUCUUGGAUCUGAGGAUCAAAGCUAGCCUCUGCUUGCAAGCUAGCGCCACCGGGAGGGCCCNCGUCCCAUUAGCUAGGUUGGUGAGGGNGACCGGCUCACCAAGGCUACGAUGGGUAGCCGGCCUGAGAGGGCGACCGGCCACACUGGAACUGAGACACGGUCCAG
rnacentral:rRNA from 1 species